ACCCCCUCACAGUGGGCAAGGAGACACCUGAUUGGUGGUGUUGCUCUUGUAUCAUUCAGGAGCAAAGCAGUCCUUAGUUCAUCCUAGUUUGAUGCCUGUGUUGGUGGCCAGAGCUGUUUCAUGCCUGAGGCACAUAU